rnacentral:tRNA from 1 species
CAUUAAAUGCCUGAAAAAAGGGUUGAUUUUUUAAAUCAAAUAAUAAUAUUAAUCAUAUUUUUAAUGA